rnacentral:rRNA from 1 species
UAGGGAAUCUUCCACAAUGGGCGAAAGCCUGAUGGAGCAACGCCGCGUGUGUGAUGAAGGGUUUCGGCUCGUAAAACACUGUUGUAAGAGAAGAAUGACAUUGAGAGUAACUGUUCAGUGUGUGACGGUAUCUUACCAGAAAGGAACGGCUAAAUACGGGCCAG